rnacentral:tRNA from 3 species
GGGCGUAUAGCUCAGUUGGUAGAGCAGCUGACUCUUAAUCAGCGGGUCGUAGGUUCGAAUCCUACUGCGCCCACCA